GAAUCCCAGGGUUCAGGCCACAAAUCCACAGAGGCGCAGUGAGCUUGCGGGGCUUAAAAACUACUCCCUGCCGGACCCUUAGGGGGCGAGGGGGCAGGCUGUGCUGAGGUCUGUGAAUAAAUAGCUGCCACCUCCACGACUUUCUCUGCUGACUGAAGGGAGAGGCCCCUGACUAGACAUGAAGAACGUGAGAGUCCCCCAGCCCUAAUGUCCCAAGGGGCCCAGAACCUUCCAGCAGAGAGGGCUGGACAGGGUUGUCAUCUUGUCACAGCCAGGUCCCAGAGGGGUACUUACCACUGGCCAGGACCAUGGGGGCCAGCAGGCUGCAGAGGAAGACCAGCACCAACUCCAUGGCGUCUGGGGACAGAGGGAGGAAAAAAUGAUUCUCUGGCUAAGAAGCCUCCAUCCGUCAGCUCCAAGCGUCAGCCUGACCAGGGGCCAAGCCAAAUCCCCAGCUUUGCUCUGCACUCAUGACUUGGUGAGGGUUCAAACAACCUAAGCACAAGCAGUUGACUUUUUUUUUUUUUGAGACAGAGUCUCGCUAUCUUGCCCAGGCUAGAGCGUAGUGGCAUGAUCUCGGCUCACUGCAACCUCCGCCUCCCAGGUUCAAGUGAUUCUUCUGCCUCAGCCUCCUGAGUAGCUGGCAUUAGAGGCGUGUGCCAUCAUGCCCGGCUAAUUUUUUGUAUUUUUAGUAGAGACAGGGUUUCAUCAUGUUGGCCAGGCUGGUCUCGAACUCUUGACCUCAAGUGGUCCAUCUGCCUCAGCCUCCCAAAGGGCUGGGAUUAUAGGCGUGAGCCACCACCAGUUGACAUUUCUUGGACUCUUAGAGAAUGCUCUGCAUGUAUUAAUUCAAUUGGCACAAUUGAGUUAGUACAAUUAGCAAGCACUACAACUAACGCAGGCCGAGAACCUGAAGCUUAAUGAGGCUGACAUGCACCAGAGUGAGUAGCAGGGCCUAGAUCCUAACCCAGCAUGGUAACUCCUCCACCACGUUGCCUCUGGGACGUGACUUUGAAGAUCUCAACUGUGUCCUUCUCUCCAGGCCACCCUUCUGUGGCCAUCCCUAGUUCAUUCUGACAGCCAAUACCCCAUCAGAAAUGUCUCUUAAUAUCAGACUAAAUGGGGCCAGUAAACCAGUGUCCCUCUAGUCUAGCCAGCUGGGUGGAGAGGAGACUUGUGGUUUCCUGGGCCCUGAAGCGCUGACAGCCCUCCUUCAGGUACCCUUUACGUCCCACCUCAAAAGUCCCCAAGUCAGCUCUUCCCACAGGCUUUGGUUCAGAAUCCUCCAGAAAGGUGGUUUGAUUCUACAAAAGGAGUUUGAAGGCUGGUUCCACGAGCCUCAGCACCCCAGCCUCUGCUUCCCCAGAGGAUGCGGAGGUCUCUGCUCAGGAGCUCAUCAGUCCUGGUCUCUGGGUGGAUGGCCCCAGGUGGGCUAUCCUGGUGGAAGCAGGAGGCAGGGCCAAGAGGUGGCACCCAGGGAUAGAUUUCAAUGGCAGGACACACAUCUCACUCCUGGGCUUAAAGGAGCAUGGUUAAGAGCCAGAGAGGAGACAGAGAGGCUUUUCCUGAACCAGGAAAGCCCAAGGCUGGGUGCUGUUUUCCAUGUGGGGUGAAACUGGCAGUGGCCUGAACCCCUGGACAUCCGUCCAGUCCAAGACCCUGAUUGCCCCCAGCACGGUCACUACCUUCCUCCGGCCUUGAGCAAGCAGCCGCCACUGCACUUCACCUCUCGGCCACCAGGGGUCAGAACGACUGCAUCCACAGCCACGUCAAGGCCCAAACCUUGAUUCAAAAAGCCUUUAUCAAAAGGUGGUAAUUUGCUUUCAAUGCUGUCUCAUUUCACACUUGUAUUUCCUUUGAAUGCUACACUGUAUCUUAUAUGUAUAAAAAUAUAUGUAACAUACACAUAUAAUGAGGCAUAGUAAUAAUAGAAACACCCAUAAACCAGCAGCUUAGGAAAUGGAGCUUUACAAAGACUGCUGCAGUGACCUCUAUUUCCCUCCACCCCAUCCCCCUGCCUCUCUCCCAGAGGUGGCCAGUAUCCCAAAAAUAUAUAUUUUUAUUUUUAUUUAUUUAUUUAUUUAUUUUGAGACUGAGUC
rnacentral:lncRNA from 1 species